GUUGGGGAGGCCGAGUGGUUAAGGCGUUGGAUUGAAAUCCAAUGGGAUCUUCCCGCGCAGGUCCGAGCCCUGCCCGCAACG
rnacentral:tRNA from 1 species